AUGAUGCCGUGUAUGGGUAUGAUUGGACUAGAAUCAUUAGCUGAUCCCUCAGAUACCUGGGAAAUUAUAGAGACCAUUGGGAAAGGCACUUACGGUAAGGUCUAUAAGGUCGCCAAUAAGAAAGAUGGGAGUCUGGCAGCAGUAAAGAUUCUGGAUCCUAUCAGUGAUGUAGAUGAAGAAAUUGAAGCAGAAUAUAAUAUUUUGCAGUUUCUUCCCAAUCAUCCUAAUGUUGUUAGAUUUUAUGGGAUGUUUUACAAAGCAGAUCAAUAUGUGGGAGGACAGCUCUGGCUAGUACUUGAGCUGUGCAAUGGAGGUUCUGUCACAGAGCUUGUCAAAGGCCUGCUGAAGUGUGGCCAACGGUUGGAUGAAUCUAUAAUCUCAUACAUCUUAUGUGGUGCUCUCUUGGGCCUUCAGCAUUUACACAAUAACCGGAUCAUUCAUCGUGAUGUGAAAGGGAACAACAUUCUCCUGACAACAGAAGGUGGAGUCAAGCUCGUUGACUUUGGUGUUUCAGCCCAGCUCACCAGCACACGGCUGCGUAGAAACACCUCCGUGGGAACACCCUUUUGGAUGGCACCUGAGGUCAUUGCUUGUGAACAACAGUAUGACUACUCAUACGAUGCGCGAUGUGACGUAUGGUCCUUGGGAAUAACAGCUAUUGAACUGGGGGAUGGAGAUCCUCCUUUAUUUGACAUGCAUCCGGUGAAAACCCUUUUUAAGAUUCCAAGGAAUCCUCCUCCUACUUUGCUACAUCCUGAAAAAUGGUGCAGAGGAUUCAACCAUUUCAUUUCACAGUGUCUUAUCAAGGAUUUUGAAAAGCGUCCUUCAGUCACCCAUCUUUUGGAGCAUCCAUUUAUUAAACAAGUACAUGGUAAAGAUAUGUCUCUGCAAAAGCAGCUGGCUGAGCUAAUCCAAGAACAGCAGCAACUAGGCUCCAUAGCCAAAACAAGGUACUGUACAACAUAUAUGCUCCAGCCCUCCUUCACCACCCUAAUUGUAGAAGCACAAGUUGAAACUUUGAAUGCACAGACAUGUACUGUUUCAAAUGAUUGUAUUAAUGCAUUGACUAGCAGUAUUAUUUGCAAUAAGUGCUGCAUGCCAUGUGAAUGCAAGAAAUAUGUUUUCCCAUUGACAGUUUUUAAAGCUAAUUUGAUCAGCCAUAAUGCAACCUUCUCCUUAGCCUUCUUUCUCCCACUGAACUCUCUUUACCAUGGUGUGAAGCGUUCAUCAAAUCCCCCCCACAUAUUUGCCUCUGCAGAUGCUGCCUACCAAAGUAUGGUUACCUUCAGCAAAGAUCAGUGCAUUAUCAUCAGUGGGGAAAGUGGUGCUGGAAAGACAGAAAGUGCCCAUCUGAUUGUCCAACAUUUGACCUUCUUGGGAAAGGCCAAUAACCGUGCUUUGCGUGAGAAAAUUCUUCAGGUGAAUCCUCUGGUUGAAGCAUUUGGGAAUGCCUGCACUGCCAUCAAUGACAACUCAAGUCGCUUCGGAAAAUACCUGGAAAUGAUGUUUACACCUACAGGAGCUGUAAUGGGGGCAAAGAUUUCUGAAUAUCUACUUGAAAAAUCAAGGGUCAUAAAACAGGCUGUGGGAGAAAAAAAUUUCCAUAUAUUUUAUUAUAUUUAUGCUGGCCUUUAUCACCAGAGGAAACUUUCUGAAUAUAGACUUCCCGAUAAAAAGCCUCCUAGAUAUAUUGAUAAUGAAACUGGAAGAGUCAUGCAUGAUAUUGUUACUAAAGAUUCCUAUGGAAGACAGUUUGAAGCAAUUCAGCAUUGUUUUAGAAUUAUAGGAUUCACUGACGAGGAAGUGUACUCAGUGUACAGAAUUCUGACUGGAAUCUUAAAUACUGGAAAUAUUGAGUUUGCUGCCAUUUCUUCACAACACCAAACAGAUAAAAGUGAGGUUCCCAACCCAGAAGCCUUAGAUAAUGCUGCUGCACUACUAAGUAUUGGGUCAGAAGAACUUCAAGAGGCCCUAACCUCCCAUUGUGUUGUAACACGAGGGGAGACUAUUAUCCGAACAAACACAGUGGACAAAGCAGCUGACGUGCGAGAUGCCAUGUCUAAAGCACUUUAUGGCCGGCUCUUCAGCUGGAUCGUAAAUCGUAUUAAUACGCUGCUUCAGCCAGAUAAAAAUAUAUGCAAUGCUGAAAAUGGGAUGAAUGUUGGAAUACUAGACAUAUUUGGAUUUGAGAACUUCGCAAGAAAUUCCUUUGAACAGCUGUGCAUAAAUAUUGCUAAUGAACAGAUCCAGUUUUAUUUCAAUCAACAUAUCUUUGCACUUGAGCAGAUGGAAUAUCAGAGUGAGGGAAUUGAUGCUGCUACAGUGGAGUAUGAGGACAACCGUCCACUUCUAGAUAUGUUCCUCCAGAAACCCAUGGGUCUCCUGUCUCUACUAGAUGAAGAAAGUCGAUUUCCUCAGGCAACAGACCUAACUUUAGUUGAUAAAUUUGAAGAUAACUUACGAUGCAAAUACUUUUGGAGACCAAAAGGAGUAGAACUGUCAUUUGGUAUUCAGCACUAUGCUGGAAAGGUUUUAUAUGAUGCCUGUGCAUUCCUUGAGAAGAACAGAGACACUCUUCCUGCUGAUGUAGUAGUGGUGUUGCGAACCUCAGAGAACAAACUUCUUCAGCAGCUGUUCUCUAGCCCAUUAACAAAAACAGGUAUUUUCUGCACAGCUUUGCUAACAUUUUUUGUCUUCCAGGUUGACACAAUGGAAGUUAUGCGACACCCUGAGGAAACAACUAACAUGAAGCGGCAAACUAUGGCUUCUUAUUUUAGGUAUUCCCUCAUGGAUCUUUUAUCCAAAAUGGUUGUUGGACAGCCUCACUUUAUCCGCUGCAUUAAACCUAAUGAUGAUCGAGAAGCACUGAUGUUUUCUCAUGAGAGAGUUCUACUGCAGCUACAAUACACUGGAAUUCUGGAAACUGUCAAAAUACGUCAAAAAGGGUAUUCUCAUCGCAUCCUCUUUGAAGAGUUUGUGAAAAGGUAUUAUUACCUUGCAUUCAAGGCACACGAGACUCCCCUUGGUAGCAGAGAAAAUUGCCUUGCCAUUUUGGAGAAAUCUAAACUAGACAACUGGAUUCUUGGGAAAACCAAGGUUUUUCUAAAGUAUUAUCAUAUAGAGCAGUUAAACUUGUUCCUGCGAGAAGUUAUAGGGAGGGUGGUGGUCAUGCAAGCCUAUAUCAAGGGAUGGCUUGGAGCAAGGAGGUACAAGAAAGUCAAAGAGAAAAGAGAAAAUAGUGCUGUUACCAUACAGUAUGUCUAUGCUAGCAUGCAGCACAUAAAUGAAACGCAGUGGCAUGCCCUCCCCAUGUAUAUGAGAAUUCCAGCUAACAUACGUUGUGGGGUGGGCCUCAGAGGCUGA
ensembl:lncRNA